CAUCUUAUCUUGUUUUGUUUUUCCAUUUUGUUGAUCUUUCUCCAGAACGGUAACCGUCUACAAGGUCCGCUACAGGGAGUACCCAUGGUUGCGUCGAGUCCUGUUCGUCACGAGAGUCCCAUGCAAGCUAACCCAGUGGAAGUGCAGAGUUACCAGCCGGCGUGGAAGGCCCUCACGGAAUUCACGCUUCAAAACGACCUUGACCACCCACCUUUCCAACAACUGGUGAGCAACUUUCUAGCAGAUGAUGAUGAUGAUGGUGAUACGGUUGUAUAUAUUGAAGAGCAGAGAUAAAAGCUAACGCUGUCCAGCUCGUAUGAUAGCGUGGAGUCUGAACACCUUUCACAGCAAGGAGAGAGCAUGAUCCCGUCAUACCUGGGUACACCAUUAUCUAUUGACGACCUAUCUCGACAUCCUAGCUCGAUGUCUUCUGAUUUUGGCGGUUCGCCAUCGGAACUGUCUAGCCCAAUUAGCCAGUGACACCUAUUUGUACAUAAUGCAGACAGCCAUACAUGCGUAUAAAUAUGGAUAUAUACGUUCGUAUAUAUAUAUAUAUAUAUAUAUAUACAUAUAUAUACACACAUAUAUAUACAUAUGUCUACAAGUGUGUUAGCGUUUGCGUAAGAAAAGUGAAAGUAAAACUGAACAACAUAUUGAAGAACAGUAGUGAAAGAGGGGCACAAAGAGAGAAUGUGUUUGUGCAUGUCUGUGUGAGUGUAUAUUUGCAUUUUGUGUGUGUGUGUGUGUGUGUAUUAUUUUCAAUGAAUGUUUAUAGCGUUAUUUCUACAUGCAUUCAUUUAUAUAUAGUUCAGAACAGAUUCACACACAAUUACAGUACACACACACACACACACGCACACACACACACUCAUAUACAUACGUAUCUCCUCACAUAAAACUCUUUGAUUUUGUAUUAUAUAUGCACGUUAGGUAAACCUUUUAGAGUAUAUUACAUAUAUGCUUAUAUAUAUAUAUAUAUAUAUUAUAUAUAUAUAUAUAUAUAUAUAUAUAUAUACAUAAGUGUAUGUUUUGUUAUUGUAUUUGUCGAAGCACAUGUUCAAUUUCUGUAUGCAUAUAUCAUUUAUACACGCAGUCAUACUGAAAAUUGGUAGGCAUCCAUAAACACACACACACACACACACACACACACACGCGCACACACACACCACACACACACACACACACACACACACCACACACACACACACACACAUACACACACACGUCUGUUCUAGAAAAAAAAAAGGACUGAAAAUCACGUUACCAAAAGAAAUGGAAUGAAUAAACAGUAUAUAAAUAAAUUCAGAAAAAAAAAAUUGAAAUAAAAGUUUAUUUCUGGAGGAAGAGUUGAAAUAUUCUCCGAAACGUCAGUCAUUAACAAAUGGAAGAAAAAAGUCGGUUUUGUGGGGAGAAAGUGAAAUAAACCUAAAAAAGUCGGUUUUGUGGGGAGAAAGUGAAAUAAACCUAAAGAAGUCGGUUUUGUGGGGAGAAAGUGAAGUAAAUCUAAAAAAGAUGUAGUCGCAAUCAGAGUUAUUGAACUGCAUCGAACUGGAAAGUAAAAUAACUGAGAUGAAUAUCAGUAUGGAUUGGAAAACGUAUUACCAAACGUGUGUAUGUAUAUGUAUACGCGUGUGUGUGUGUGGGAGUGUUGAAAUGGGGAAAAAAAAGAAAUAAAACCAGUGACCAAACAAACAAGGAACUUAAAGAGAGAAGAUCCAUCUUUGGAUGCGAACCACAAAUGGAAUAUAAUAAAAAAAAUAAUAAAGAAUGAGUAAAAAAAACAAGAAAGAAAAAUAAAAUAAAA
rnacentral:lncRNA from 1 species